rnacentral:rRNA from 1 species
AAAUGAAUUGACGGGGGCCCGCACAAGCGGUGGAUUAUGUGGUUUAAUUCGAAGCAACGCGAAGAACCUUACCAGGGCUUGACAUCCUGCUAACGAGGUAGAGAUACGUCAGGUGCCCUUCGGGGAAAGCAGAGACAGGUGGUGCAUGGUUGUCGUCAGCUCGUGUCGUGAGAUGUUGGGUUAAGUCCCGCAACGAGCGCAACCCUUAUUGUUAGUUGCUACGCAAGAGCACUCUAGCGAGACUGCCGUUGACAAAACGGAGGAAGGUGGGGACGACGUCAAAUCAUCAUGCCCCUUAUGUCCUGGGCGACACACGUAAUACAAUGGCGGUAAACAAAGGGAAGCGAUGGAGCGAUCCGGAGCAAAUCCCCAAAAGCCGUCCCAGUUCGGAUCGCAGGCUGCAACCCGCCUGCGUGAAGUCGGAAUCGCUAGUAAUCGCGGAUCAGCAUGCCGCGGUGAAUACGUUCCCGGGCCUUGUACACACCGCCCGU